rnacentral:rRNA from 1 species
UACAGAGGGUGCUAGCGUUGCUCGGAAUCACUGGGCGUAAAGGGUGCGUAGGCGGGUCUUUUAAGUCAGGGGUGAAAUCCUGGAGCUCAACUCCAGAACUGCCUUUGAUACUGAAGAUCUUGAGUUCGGGAGAGGUGAGUGGAACUGCGAGUGUAGAGGUGAAAUUCGUAGAUAUUCGCAAGAACACCAGUGGCGAAGGCGGCUCACUGGCCCGAUACUGACGCUGAGGCACGAAAAGCGUGGGGGAGCAA